rnacentral:rRNA from 1 species
UACAGAGGGUGCGAGCGUUGUCCGGAAUCACUGGGCGUAAAGGGCGCGUAGGCGGCACGUCAAGCGCGUGGUGAAAGCCCGGGGCUCAACCCCGGGUCGGCCGUGCGGACUGGCGUGCUCGAGCACUGUAGGGGCGGGUGGAAUUCCGGGUGUAGCGGUGGAAUGCGUAGAGAUCCGGAAGAACACCGGUGGCGAAGGCGGCCCGCUGGGCAGGAAGAGAGCGCAAGCUCUCGGCUGACGCUGAGGCGCGACAGCGUGGGGAGCAAACAGG